AAUCUUCGGCAAUGGACGGAAGUCUGACCGAGCAACGCCGCGUGAGUGAUGAAGGUCUUCGGAUCGUAAAGCUCUGUUGCCAGGGAAGAAGGGCAAGGAGAGUGACUGCUCUUUGCUUGACGGUACCUGAGAAGAAAGCCCCGGCUAACUACGUGCCAGCAGCCGCGGUAAUACGUAGGGGGCGAGCGUUGUCCGGAAUUAUUGGGCGUAAAGCGCGCGCAGGCGGUUCUUUAAGUCCGGUGUUUAAGCCCGGGGCUCAACCUCGGGACGCACGGGAAACUGGGGGACUGGAGUGCAGGAGAGGGAAGCGGAAUUCCACGUGUAGCGGUGAAAUGCGUAGAGAUGUGGAGGAACACCAGUGGCGAAGGCGGCUUCCUGGCCUGUAACUGACGCUGAGGCGCGAAAGCGUGGGGAGCAAACA
rnacentral:rRNA from 1 species